rnacentral:lncRNA from 1 species
UCACAAUCUAGUCAUAAAACUGAUAGACAAAUAGAAUCUACAUAAACAAUCACAUUUUAUUUCAUGUUCUUCAAUUUCUGCUUCAAACUACACCUCAAUUACAUCCAUAGAGUUGAAUGAUACUUGGAAAUUGAAACAGAAAAGGAAGCAGUGAAAUCACUGGAGUAACAACAGAGAUGAAUCAACAACAACCACUAUCCCAUAUUCAAUGAUUCAACAGUGAAAACAUUUUAGCAAUGCUUUAUAGAUCAGUACACAAGCAAGUAAAGCUUGAUCCAACACUUUCAUGACACGGCUUCGAACCAUUUUAACCCCCAGGACCAGAAAUUUUGAACUUCUAUUGAAUUGAACUAAACCACUAAGAUCAGGGGAACCAGGACUAAGCAAAAUUCACUAAUUUUUAUGAGAAACUUCCAGAAAAUUGGAACUUUGUUCCAGGAUUUAAAGAGAGGCAGCCAUUUUAAAGUUUUUGGUUUUUUC